GCCGGAGUGGCGGAAUGGCAGACGCGGCGGUCUCAAAAACCGCUGACCGCAAGGUCGUGUGGGUUCGACUCCCACCUUCGGCACCC
rnacentral:tRNA from 1 species